GUUUCCAUGAUGGGCAGCAAUGCAUGCUGCAGCUGGCUCCUGCAAGAGACCCGGGCCAAGGGCAUGGUGGGGAAGCAGCAAGGACUAAAUGAAGCUCAUCAUGCUCACUGCCUGCCACUGAGGGCUUCCAGUUGUGGCAUGUGGGACGCUGCCUCAGCGUGGUUCAACGAGCAGUGUCAUGUCCGCGCCCAGGAUUCGAAUCAACGAAACACUGGGCCGCCUGCAGCGAAGCGAGCAAACUUAACCACUCUGCCACGGGGCCAGCCCCCCUUCCGGGGCCCUUUUGCUGCUGGAUGAGCCUGGUUCUCAGAUUGACAGCAAAUAGCAAAGCAAACAAGCUUCUCGAGACUGACGAUGUGGUGGUGCUAUCCUGGAUUAGGAGGAGUCCUUCUUCCUGAUUGCCUACUACUGUUAAGAGCACUAAAGUAAGCUUUCCUGGCUGAUGAAGUCCAGCACUCAAUGAGUUAAUCACUUUAUGUGGCCUCUUACUGGACAACAUUAACAGUGGAUUUUAUAUGCUUAGGGGUCAUGAUGAAGAAAACAACAUGAGACUAAAUCAAGCACAGGAGAAAAUGAUGCAAUCAAGACACACGGUAAACAUGAGAUGUAUGAGGCUGCUGCUGGUAUAACACAGCAUACUAUUUUACAGUAAACUUUUUUUAUAUGUAGAAAGAAUGCACUAAAAUAAUGAUAAAAAAGUAUAGUACAGUAAACACAUAAACCAGUAAAGUAGCCAUUUAUUAUCGUCAUCAAGUAUAAUGUACUGUACAUAAUUGAAUGUGCUAUACUUUUACACAACUAGCAGUGCUGUAGGUUUGUUUACACCAGCAUCACCACAAACACAGCAGUAAUGCUUUGCGCUAUGAUGUUAGGAUGGCUAUGACGUCACUAGGUGAUAGGAAAAUUUCAGCUCUAUUAUAAUCUUAUGGAACCACACUUGUAUAUGUGGUCCGUCAUUGACCAAAACAUCAUUUUACAGUGCAUGAUUGUACUAGUUUUUAGAUUCUUUGCAACUAAUAUUUGUUUUAUUGUUUAACCAUCUGUAUUAGUUUCCUAGACCUGCUCUAACAAAAUAGCACAAAUUUGGUGGCAGCAAAAAUUUAUUCUUUCACCGUUUUGGAGGUCAGAAGUCCCAAAUUAAAGUGUUGGCAGGAUUGAUUCCUUCUGGAGGCUCGGAAGUAGAAUGUAUUCCCCACCUUCCGGCAGCUUCUGGCAAUCCUUGAUAUCUCUUGGCUUGUAGACUCAUCACGCCCAGCUCUGCUCCAUGUUCAAGUCAGCUUUCUCUCUGUGUGUUUGUGUCUCAACUCUCCCUCUCCUUUUCCUUAUAAGGACACCGGUCACUGGAUUUAGGGCCCGCUCUAAAUCCAGGAUGUCAUUUUGAGACCUUUAACUUCAUCAAAUCUGCGAAGACUCUAUUUCCAAAUAAGGUCACAUUCACAGAUACCAGGGUUAGGAGCCGGACAUAUCUUUUGGGGAGAUACAAUUCAACUCACUACAUCAUCUAUGGCUUUUAAAAAUUUCUGCAUUAUAUGAGAAAGCACAUGUUAGAUUUUAUAUAUGUUAAGGAUAUGAUUACAGAAGCAAAGUGAGAAGUUGAUACAAUUGUCUAGAAAAUUCCAGAAAAAUGCUCAAUUUUGAUUCAUGUGGCUGAAUAUUUUAGGCCAAACAUAAUUUGAAAAUCUGCAUGAUGCUCUUGGAAGAUUCUUUUAGUCUUAAGAGAUAUGGAGUUGAGAAAAAGAUAACAUAAUAACUAGGAGUAGGGUACACAUCAUUAGAGAACAGAAAGACAAGGCUUUUCAGGCUCAAAAACAUUCUGAAAUUCUGGUGAUAUGUGAAAAUGACUUGCAAUGCUGCAAAAUUACAUGACCAUGGAUGUACUUUUUAUUUGUUACAGUCUAGAAUUUGUGCUUUUAUCUGUAAUUCAAAUAUUAAUGGCAGUUAGUUGGUUAACAUUUAUUGAACUCUAGAUCUUCAAUUAUGAGAGGAUCAAUAGAAGUCUUUUGCUCUUCUUUACCAGCUUCUGUUGGUCAGCGAUGUUUAUGUGAUUGAGUAAGGUUUUGAUGGCUUUGGUGUCAAUUCCUUUUGACCAUUUAUUUGGCCUUUGAUGGAUCAGUAUAGUGAAUUUUCAAUAACAAUGGAGAAUUGGAUUUUCAUUUUCUUAAACAUAGCACUCUAAUUUAUGAUACUUCUUCCAAACAGUGAAUGACUUAAUGAAUUCUUCUAAAACACGCUUUG
rnacentral:lncRNA from 1 species